rnacentral:tmRNA from 1 species
AGUGUUGAAAUCCACACCUUACUCGCCUAUCUCUAAGAUGUCCCUCGGGACUAUGAACAUAAACGCGCUCGCAAUAAGCGGAUCGGACCCGGGGGCGGUAC